GAUGAACGCUGGCGGCGUGCUUAACACAUGCAAGUCGAACGAAGCACUUAAUGAGAUUUCUUCGGAUUGAUUAUUUUGUGACUGAGUGGCGGACGGGUGAGUAACGCGUGGGUAACCUGCCCCAGACCGGGGGAUAACAGUCGGAAACGACUGCUAAUACCGCAUAAGCGCACAGUGCCGCAUGGCACGGUGUGAAAAACUCCGGUGGUCUGGGAUGGACCCGCGUCCGAUUAGUUAGUUGGUGAGGUAACGGCCCACCAAGGCGACGAUCGGUAGCCGGACUGAGAGGUUGAACGGCCACAUUGGGACUGAGACACGGCCCAGACUCCUACGGGAGGCAGCAGUGGGGAAUAUUGCACAAUGGGGGAAACCCUGAUGCAGCGACGCCGCGUGGAGGAAGAAGGUCUUCGGAUUGUAAACUCCUGUUGUUGAGGAAGAUAAUGACGGUACUCAACAAGGAAGUGACGGCUAACUACGUG
rnacentral:rRNA from 1 species